UUUUAAUUCCAAUAGCCAUCUAAUCAAAUCAUCACUAAAGAUUACCCCAUCCAUUUCUUGGUAAAAUGAAGUAAAUUAGGUGCAAUAAAAUUAGGAAAUUAUUAGUAAGAAUUUUUAAAACUGCGCUGCUGAUAUGCAACACUCAAAUUCCACCUAAUAUGCAUUUUUAUGAAUUGAGCAUUUGCACAUGACGUCACAGCCGCCAUGUUGGUGUUCCAAUUCAGAAUAAUUUUAAUUAGAUUCUUUUGUCUGAACACCAACAUGGCUGCCAUGGCUUUUGUUGAGUUGGUUCCUUGGGAAUGAGUGCAAACGCUCUAUUUCGUGCAAACAUAAAUAUGACAUCACACCGCAUUGCAAGUUUUUAGAGAGGUUUAUAGUCUCGGAAUGCUUUUCCAAAAUAUCUUAACAUUUUCUUCAUAUAAAUCCACAACCAUGGACUCGUGUAGCCUCCUUUUGUGUUUAUAGAUGUACCAAGUUCAAAAUUGUUUUUCAAAACCUCAUUCUGUAACGUGAUGCCAUAAGUAUAAUAUUUUGAUGUCAAGCAAAUUAAGUUUCAGAUUAGAAAAUUAUACAAGGGUUGUUCUUUGGUUAUCUGAAGUGAGCUUUAUAUAUGUGAAAACGCUGCGAUAAAAUUUCAUUUAAAUUAUAUAAGUGAACCUGCGUUUGCUCGCAUAGUCGCAUCUACCCUCUAAAGAAGAACGUGCGUUUAUAUUAAUAUAUAGACUGUAGUUAGUUUUUCAAAUUGUUUUUAUUCGUUUUGUUAAUUUGUUAAUUGUUAUGUUGAGAAAGAAUGUCGCACUUCAACCUGUAUGUGCAGCGAACAUUACUAACUAAAGAUCAUGCGGUUGCGACAUUGACCGCAAAAACAUUAAGAUUUAUGGUAUCGGCUAUAAACAUUGAAGUAAAUUAUUUGAAUAUAAGGACCCAUCCACAAUUAGCAACAUUUUUACAAGCAUACAUACAAAGCAUAUAUUGACUCGGGGGGCAAGAGUUAAUGACCAAUGUAUGCUUUUCAAAAUGUUGAACUUAUAUAGUCAGACCAAUCAUAGUAGCCGGUUCCCCUUAUUGCGUAUUCUGAAUACAACUACCAGCGUGCUUUUCGGACGUGGUAUUGCAUAAUGAAGAAAAUACCCGCAAAGUGUCAUGGUAGUUUUAUUCAGAAUACGUAAUAAGGGGCCUAUAUUCCAGAGGUUUGACAUUUCUAGAGUGUGCUGUGGGAAGGCGUAGAAAAACGGUACUGGUUAACUUUCUAUACGCUUGUAAAAAUGUUACUGAUUAUGGAGAGCCCUAACUCGAUAUUUAAAUGGGCACUGUAAAUUGUAUAGAAUGUAUCGUAUAGUUUAUAGGGAUAUAAUGAAAUUAUAUUAUAGUUUAUAGAGAAGAAAAGAAAAAGUCAUAUUUUUAGCAGACGUUAUGAUUGUCUUUCAUGGGUGGUAAUCUGAAGCAAUCAAAAUUAUACUGUGGUUCCCAGUUGAGUUUGGAACGCCACAACGAUGUUUUUUUCGACAAUGUUCACUUCAUUGAGUUUUGAUCCGCCUGCAAUUAUACUAUAAUCUUACAUAGGAGUUAAAAAUAACAGUUGCCACACUCUUAAUUGCUGUGAAGAAAAAGUACUAUGACUUAAUUUUAAACCCUAUAUAGUUAUAUUCCAAUCAAUACAGAUUUCUCGUCAUAAACUGGAUUUAUUUUAAGGUACGUUCGUUCCGUCAGGGUUCGCAUAGUCGUAAGUAUGUUCUGAAGCCGUAUUGAUAAUCGCGUCAGGUUCAUAACAGACGUUCUCGUUAGUAUUAGAUCCAUACAAAACGCAUUCGCUUGAAGCCGCGUCUACCGGUAGUUCAUGAUCUCUUUGGGAUCUUGGAGUUAUGUUUGCUGCAGGAAUAAACUGGGUUUAGAGUUUCGGCUGAUUUAACGGAAGGAUGUUGUAUGCCGUUGCGUUCAUACAAAUCUAGAAAAAAUGGAACUAUAAGAAUUGCUUCAACCUCGUACCCAG